UACGAAGGGGGCUAGCGUUGCUCGGAAUCACUGGGCGUAAAGCGCACGUAGGCGGAUCUUUAAGUCAGGGGUGAAAUCCUGGAGCUCAACUCCAGAACUGCCUUUGAUACUGGGGAUCUUGAGUCCGGAAGAGGUGAGUGGAACUCCGAGUGUAGAGGUGAAAUUCGUAGAUAUUCGGAAGAACACCAGUGGCGAAGGGCGGCUCACUGGUCCGGUACUGGACGCUGAGGUGCGAAAGCGUGGGGAGCAAACAGGG
rnacentral:rRNA from 1 species